UACAGAGGUGGCAAGCGUUGUUCGGAAUUACUGGGCGUAAAGGGCUCGUAGGCGGCCAACUAAGUCGGACGUGAAAUCCCUCGGCUUAACCGGGGAGCUGCGUCCGAUACUGGAUGGCUUGAGUUCGGGAGAGGGAUGCGGAAUUCCAGGUGUAGCGGUGAAAUGCGUAGAUAUCUGGAGGAACACCGGUGGCGAAGGCGGCAUCCUGGACCGACACUGACGCUGAGGAGCGAAAGCCAGGGGAGCAAACGGG
rnacentral:rRNA from 1 species